GGGGGAUUAACUCAGCGGGAGAGUGCUAUCUUCACACGGUAGAAGUCGCCAGUUCGAACCUGGCAUUCCCCACCA
rnacentral:tRNA from 1 species